UUUCUUUACGCCGACCUCAGAGCAGGU
rnacentral:rRNA from 1 species